rnacentral:pre_miRNA from 5 species
UACCACCACCACAUCAACCAAUGAGGAGGUCGAGGCCACCGGAUCUGGGUAUUUGGUGACCCCGGCCUCCCCGUUGGUCGAUCUGGCUGGGGAGC